GUGAAGGUUCUCCCAGAGAAGAUUCUAAGUCAGCCUACUGGGCAGCAAAUAAGGAGAGGUCCUACAACACAGGGCUCAGGGACCCCGGCCAAAUCUAGGAUCUUUUGGAAGCUAGGAAUGAGAGCAGAAAGGACAUGCAAAGAAUGACUAUCAAUGCUGACAGUCUGGAAGGCUAAGACGCAGAAUGGAGCCUAUUAACCCGAGUGGCCACAUAGACAAGGUCUCGUGAAAGCAGCAAUCCUUCAACACUCACUUGUUUAUCAAAUGUUCUCUGAUUAGUUUGUAGAGCUGGUUAUAAAACAA